CAAUCAGCUGUGACACGGAAAAGUGAACAGACGCCUCGGAUAGGGUUGCCUUGCUGUAGAGAGCAACAAAGAAACAAACGCGACGUCGGAGUGAGUUAGCUGUAAAACGUCGCUGGCAUUGGUCGCCAAGACGGAAAGCUUCAUGCGUUUGAGUAAACAACUUGGUGUCAGGAAUAACGCGGCUGGCUUGUAAUCUGAGGAUAUAUCCAUUUUUGUCCCGUAAAAGGCAGUCGCUUUGGAACAAGUUAACUUCCUCACGUGGGGAUCAGAUGUGUGUGCUGCUGUAAUGUGGAGGCGGAGCUCAGGAAGAGACACCACGAGGACACUCCCCACCCUCACUCACCGGCUGUGGAUGUGUAGUUCUGGAUGAGGUUCCCCAGGAGAACUGAGGAGCGGAUCCGGAACCGGUCCGAAAGAGGAAGAGGAAGAGGAAGAGGAACCCACAGCAGCGGCACAGGUUCCUCAGCUGUGUGACAUCAUCUGCUGGGCUGGGCUUGGCGGCGGUGUGUGACGUCGGCAGGCACACCUCUGUGCGUGUGCGUGUGUGUGCGCGUGCGCGUGCAUGCACUAGAGGACGUUGGCUUGCCCUGAAGAGUCGUGUCUAAAGUGAAGGAAGACAAAAAGAAGAGACACACACACACACGUGCACACAAUUACACACACAUGCACACACUCACACACACACACAUAUGUAUGUUGAUGCAGUCGUACACACACACACUGCCUCAAUGAGGUAACAGAGGGAAGUGAAGACCAUACCUGCCCUCACUAGGACCCCUCCUCCCCCCCUCCCCUCCUCCCUCCCUUGAUCCCCCCUUCCCUCAUCCCCCUCUCUUCUCCUCCUCUCUUCUCCUCCUCUCCUCUCCUCUCCU